UCAGGAUUAUACUACAAGACGAGUCAAGGGGAUCACUGCAAUACACAAGGCCAAGUAAAAAUGGAAAGGGAGGUGGUGCUUUGGGCCGUUGUACUUUUUCCAAAUGGCGGAGCUGCAACAGUUCUUGCCAGCUGGUUCAGUCUAAAGGAAGGUAAAUUGUUAUGGCCCCCAAAAAACAUGUAUUUGAAGGCCCUUAAAGAACACAUGACGGCCCAUAAAGGAUGGACCACAUAUGCGAAUGUCCGGCUCUUGAUUACUUGUGACUCAUUGGAAAAGGCCAAACGAUACGAAGAAAAGUAUGUGACUACUGGAUGUCCAACCACUGAUCUGAGCUCUGAGGACGAAGCAGGUGAAC